UUGCAGGCACUAGAUAAGUGAUUAAAAAGAAAAAGGAGGGCAUGCGGAAUUGAGAGGUGCAACAGAACCCUUUUGGAUGCGUGGUUUCUCACGGUUGUAUAUCCGGAACGGCCAGAAGAACUAAGGCGACGAAAGGUUGUUUAGAAAUGGAUGGAAGCCUCUAAUGGAUGUUUUUCUGUCAAAACUCUAAGGAGCAUGAUAUCGGACCGGAAAUGGGCUUCCACAAACCAAGUCUUUGUUUGGGUAUCUUGUGUUCCAAAAAAAAAAAAAAAACCAUUUUUGCUUGGCACGCCAACAUGGAUUUUCUUCCUAUGCUCGUGGCACUAGAUGUAGAAGGCUAUCCAUUCCAUCAAAAGUAUGUAAACUCUGUGGGUUGGCAGACGAGUCGUUAGAACAUUUUUUGACUGGAUGCUAUAUUGCAAGUGUAGUAUGGCAACGGAUUUCAACAUGGUGCUCUAUACCGCCGAUCUUCGCAUUCCAGUUGGAUGAUAUGGUUGACUCGAAACAGUAUUAUUUUACUCGUGAAUGGAUCGAUUUGUUAGCAAUGUUGUUUGAGUCUCUGUUUUUUUUUUUUUGUGUUUAGAUUUGUAGUUUGUUGAGCAAUGUAAGAUUCUUGUAGUUAGUUUGUUACCUAUUACAAGAUUUGGCUCAAAUGGAUAUAAUAUCCAACCAACUGGAACAAAAAGCUGACAUUUUUUAUAAUCAUAUUUUCCACUCU